GGGGGGAGGCUGGAUCCUGGGCUGUGUCCCCGCGCUCUGUGCUCCGGGGCCUGCGCUGUUGGAUUCGCGCUCCCGGGCCACGCAGCCCCCU
rnacentral:pre_miRNA from 1 species